GGCGCGAUAGCAAAGCGGUUAUGCCCCGGAUUGCAAAUCCGGUCAGAGCGGUUCGACUCCGCUUCGCGCCUCCA
rnacentral:tRNA from 1 species